rnacentral:misc_RNA from 1 species
UCCGACUUGACGUCGGCAGUCUCCUUAGAGUUCCCAGCAUAACCUGAUGGCAACUAAGGACAAGGGUUGCGCUCGUUGCAGGACUUAACCUAACAUCUCACGACACGAGCUGACGACAGCCAUGCAGCACCUAUGCUCCGCGUCCCUUGCGGGACUAGCCCACUUUCAUGGGUUUACAGAGCACUUCGAGCCCAGGUAAGGUUCUUCGCGUUGCAUCGAAUUAAACCACAUGCUCCACCGCUUGUGCGGGCCCCCGUCAAUUCCUUUGAGUUUCAACCUUGCGGUCGUACUCCCCAGGCGGGGUACUUCCUGCGUUAGCGCCGGCACCCAGAGGGUCGCUCCCCCAGGCACCUAGUACCCAUCGUUUACGGCGUGGACUAC